GACGGGACCGCACAAGCGUGGAUGAUGUGGUUAAUUCGAUGCAACGCGAAAACCUUACCACCUUUGACAUGUACGGAAUCCUUUAGAGAUAGAGGAGUGCUCGAAAGAGAGCCGUAACACAGGUGCUGCAUGGCUGUCGUCAGCUCGUGUCGUGAGAUGUUGGGUUAAGUCCCGCAACGAGCGCAACCCUUGUCAUUAGUUGUUACAUUCAGUUGGGGCACUCUAAUGAGACUGCCGGUGACAAACCGGAGGAAGGUGGGGAUGACGUCAAGUCCUCAUGGCCCUUAUAGGUGGGGCUACACACGUCAUACAAUGGAUGGUACAAAGGGUCGCCAACCCGCGAGGGGGAGCCAAUCCCAUAAAGCCAUUCGUAGUCCGGAUCGCAGUCUGCAACUCGACUGCGUGAAGUCGGAAUCGCUAGUAAUCGUGGAUCAGAAUGUCACGGUGAAUACGUUCCCGGGUCUU
rnacentral:rRNA from 1 species